CUCGUUGCGGGACAGCUCGUACACGGAGGAGGUGGCCGAGGACUCGGAGGGCGUCGCCGGCGCAGCCGCCGCGUGAAACGAGCUCACAGCGCUCCGAGCUGUCAAAACUCCGAGCUGGAGGAGGCCCCUGCAGAGAAGCCGCUGCCGAAGGUACCGGCCGCUGCUGAUGACCCGAGCAGGCGUCCCCGACGACGAGCAGGACGAACGGCAGGUGGCGCCGCUGGAGGAGCACCACGUCAACGAGUCCUUCAUGCGGUACGGUACGCUGCCCAAAGGCGCGCACAUCGGCGCCUUCCUGGACUCGCUGCGGGAGAGCGGUUUGCGCGGCAGUGCGGAGGGUGGCGAGGCGGCCGCGGGAGCGGCAGGCGAGGCCCGCGCGCUGCGCAGUCACACGGAAGCAGAGGGCGUGCGGCCGCCGGCCUCCGCCGCCGCCGCCAAGAAGCCCUCAGCCAUGGUGCGGUCCAACUCGUCCAACAGUGAGUUUCAGAGACCGCGGCUGUCGCGGCUCAGUCCGCUAGUGUUUGCCGGUGCGGCGGGGACGGGGCCGGCGCGGAGUCGGCGACCGACCGGCGCCGGCCGUCGUCGCGCCAGAAACAAACCUGCCGAGCUGGGGUUUCCCCCGCCGCCGAUGGAACUGCUGCCUCCUGACGACAUCGAGGCCGACUUUAUCGUCGACCCGACGUUCCCGCCGACGCCGCCGGGCCUGAGGGACCAGUUGUCGAGCGGCGUUCCCAUGAUACCGCCGGCCACCCGGUGCCCAGCCCGCGCACGCACCGCCGCGCCGAGUACUCGAACCUCUCCGAGCGCGCCAAGCGCAGCGACGACCUGGUGACGCGACUAAGGACCGGGCAGCGCUCGCGGCCGCAGCCGCCGGCGUCCCUGACCCCGUCCAUCAGCGCUCAGCUGGUCUCGGAGAUUCAGCAGAAACAGCGCGAGAACCGUGCCGAGGGCGAGCCGCCCGCAGCGGCGGCCGCACCCGACCAGCGCGCCGCCGAUCGGCUGCAGCCGCUCGGCCGGCGCCGGCAGCUCGGCGGAGGCCGUGCGCGACCUGGCCGCGGCCGUGGAGCGCAGCCAGGGCGCGCUGGAGACAUCGUCCGCCUCCACCGUGGCGUGCAUGCAGCUGUCGGACAAGCUGGGCCUGCUGCUGACGGCGUGCGGCGCGCACGCUGGCCAGGUGCCGCCCACCGGCUGGCUCCGGUUCCGCGCCCUGCAGCGGCGCCUGGAGACGCACGCCGGCACCCUGCGCUCGGCCGGCGGGCGCGCAACAGCAGCGACGCCCAGCGGCUCUUAUCCAAACUAGCCAACACAGUGCGCGACAUGUUCAAUGUGGUGCAGCGAUGAGAGACCGGCGACUGCGCCGCCACGAGCUGCCCGCGCCGUUUGUUUUUGUGAUAUCUAAUAUCCAUUUUAUUGCGUUGACGGUGGCUCUUCUACGAUUUAGUGGAACCAGUGUGUGCGCGCCGCCUGCGGCCACCCGGGUGUGACAUUCCUUCCCGUCUCUGUCUCGUUUCUUAUAUACAGCAAUCAAAUGAGUUUUCAUGCGUACCCUGUGUUUUGCGGAUGCGCAAAACACAGGGCGUAACAGGCCGCCGCCACAGCCUGUUACGCCUUAACUCAUAUGCUACACAGUCAUCGUGAUCUCAUGAUACCCACAACCUACAUACCAACUGUUCUAACGAUGUGUACGAAUGAUCGUGUGCCUGUAUUUUACCCAUGCCUACUUGUUUUUAUGCUAAUUGACAUGCGUUGAUCAAAAGCCGCGAAGGCGGAUUAACGUGAAUAAAUGAACUUGAACUUG
rnacentral:misc_RNA from 1 species